rnacentral:lncRNA from 1 species
UGACACCUUUGUGAUGUCAACAGCCUCAGGAGACUGCCCGGCGAGGCAGGAGACACCUCAGCUCUGCCUCUGGGUGGUGCAGGGAUGUUUUGUGUGUAUCUCGGUGAGCCAGCUGUCCCUGGGGAGGGGGCUCUGCAGCUUGUGAGUGUGGGGGAUACACGUGGGUCCAAUGUGUGUCAGGGUCAGCUCCUGGGAGGUGCAGGAGAGGAUUAGGCUAGACUGGCCCCUUUCAACUGCAGACCAGACAGAGAACCUGGGAUCUCCAGCUCAGCUUCCCUGCUGAUUGAGGCGCUGUGACGUGAUGUGAUUAAGGACUUUUAAAAUUCCGACGGCCUCUUUACUGAUUCUAGUUCAUUAACUACUUGACACAUGAUGGGAACCUUUUGGAGAGAGGGACUUGAGCCCGGAAGUUGAAGGAUCGGGGUAUAUCACACACUCUGUGGAGAUUCAGCUGUGGGCAACUUGGAUCCUUCUUCAGGGGACACUUCUCUGCAGCUGUUCCUUUCUCCAGGACUGGUCCCAGCAUCUGAACCACAAUCCCUUAUUCUAAGAGGAGCCCCAGCCCGUGACUGGCGAGUUUGUGCCAUAAGACCCUGGCUAUUUCCCCCAGCAUGGAACCUUCUAAUGGCCAGCGUUCUCUGCGGCCUGCUGGGCUGCCAAAGAUUUUCCACUUAUACAUUGUAAUUUGAGGGCUCUCCUUCGAGGUCGUGCUGUUUUUCCUUUUCUUUUCUUUCACAGGUAUUAUUCCCCACUAAAUCCAUUUGCUCUCCUAACACCUCCUCAUUGUCUACAUUCUGGAAAACCCAAAUUAUA